AAUGAACGCUGGCGGCGUGCUUUACACAUGCAAGUCGAGCGAGGCGGGUAGCAAUACCCAGUCGAGCGGCGAACGGGUGAGUAACGCGUGGAUAACCUGCCCAGAGGUGGGGGAUAACCCGGGGAAACUCGGGCUAAUACCGCAUAUGACCGUGAGGUCAAAGGGGGCUCGCAAGAGCUCUCGCCAUUGGAGGGGUCCGCGUACGAUUAGCUAGUUGGUAGGGUAAUGGCCUACCAAGGCGACGAUCGUUAGCCGGCCUGAGAGGGUGAUCGGCCACACUGGAACUGAGACACGGUCCAGACUCCUACGGGAGGCAGCAGUGGGGAAUUUUGCGCAAUGGGCUAACGCCUGACGCAGCAACGCCGCGUGGAGGAUGAAGGUCUUUGGAUUGUAAACUCCUGUCAGCAGGGAAAAAGCGACCUGACCUCAUACGUCAGGGAGUUGAUUGUACCUGCAGAGGAAGCCCCGGCUAACUCUGUGCCAGCAGCC
rnacentral:rRNA from 1 species